rnacentral:rRNA from 1 species
CUACGGGUUGCUGCAGUGGGGAAUAUUGCACAAUGGAGGAAACUCUGAUGCAGCAACGCCGCGUGGAGGAUGACACUUUUCGGAGCGUAAACUCCUUUUAUAUAGGAAGAAGAUGACGGUACUAUAUGAAUAAGCGCCGGCUAACUCCGUGCCAGCAGCCGCGGUAAUACGGAGGGCGCAAGCGUUACUCGGAGUCACUGGGCGUAAAGAGCGUGUAGGCGGAUUAAAAAGUCAGAAGUGAAAUCCUAUAGCUUAACUAUAGAACUGCUUCUGAAACUCUUAAUCUAGAAUAUGGGAGAGGUAGAUGGAAUUUCUGGUGUAGGGGUAAAAUCCGUAGAGACCAGAAGGAAUACCGAUUGCGAAGGCGAUCUACUAGAACAUUAUUGACGCUGAGACGCGAAAGCGUGGGGAGCAAACAGGAUUAGAUACCCUGGUAGUC